GUGCAGGACUCUGCCCCAGAUGACCAUUUGGGACCUUUGCCUGAGAACGACGCAGCUCAGGAGCCGAGUGCUUUCAAGUUUUCCUUCUUUGGAGACACAGAGGACUUGUGCAUCAAAGAAGAUAAAAUGAGGCCUUGUGAAAAGAAGAUGAAACAACAUUAAAUCGAGUCACAGUCCUGAAGGAGAGAAGAGGAACUGUGUGAAGUUAUGCCAAAUAUUAAAAAAAAAGAAACCAAUGCAACAAGACAAAGCAACCAGCCUCCCACACUUGUGCUGAAUUCAGAAGGAAUUCAGUGUCUUCUGAAUGCAAUGAUAAAUGCUUAUGAACACAGAAGAGAUCCCUAGAACAAACUGGAAAAUCCUGGAGCAGAGAUGUAGCUCAGAAAAUCAGGCAGGAGCAGAUUCUGUCCUUCCUAAAUCUGUCUUCUCCACUAGCCUUGCGGACUUGGAACAAUAAAGCCGGUAAAAGUCACAUGGCAGGAGGCUUCACGUUUCCAAGACAGCCGUUCUGAGGGUGCUGAUGAGCCUGAGACGUGAGAAAUUGAAAAGGACCGAGAAAUGCAAGUUCCGUUU